rnacentral:rRNA from 1 species
ACGCAUCGCAAGAUGAGUGGCAGACGGGUGAGUAACGCGUGGGAAUCUACCCAACCCUACGGAACAACUCCGGGAAACUGGAGCUAAUACCGUAUACGCCCUAUGGGGGAAAGAUUUAUCGGGGAUGGAUGAGCCCGCGUUGGAUUAGCUAGUUGGUGGGGUAAAGGCCUACCAAGGCGACGAUCCAUAGCUGGUCUGAGAGGAUGAUCAGCCACAUUGGGACUGAGACACGGCCCAAACUCCUACGGGAGGCAGCAGUGGGGAAUAUUGGACAAUGGGCGCAAGCCUGAUCCAGCCAUGCCGCGUGAGUGACGAAGGUCUUAGGAUUGUAAAGCUCUUUCACCGAUGAAGAUAAUGACGGUAGUCGGAGAAGAAGCCCCGGCUAACUUCGUGCCAGCAGCCGCGGUAAUACGAAGGGGGCUAGCGUUGUUCGGAAUUACUGGGCGUAAAGCGCAUGUAGGCGGAUAUUUAAGUCAGGGGUGAAAUCCCGCAGCUCAACUGCGGAACUGCCUUUGAUACUGGGUAUCUUGAGUAUGGAAGAGGUAAGUGGAAUUCCGGGUGUAGAGGUGAAAUUCGUAGAUAUUCGGAGGAACACCAGUGGCGAAGGCGGCUUACUGGUCCAUUACUGACGCUGAGGUGCGAAAGCGUGGGGAGCAAACAGGCUUAGAUACCCUGGUAGUCCACGCCGUAACGAUGAAUGUUAGCCGUCAGCAGUUGACUGUUCGUGGCGCACUACGCAUUAAACAUUCCGCCUGGGG